ACCAGGCUGUCUAUGGAACCGGGGGCUUUGGAGUUAUCUGUUAGACCCUGGUGGACUCAGAAGUGGAUAAACAGCUAAAGUCAGUGACGACCCCUUUCCCGGACUCUACCAACCGUCAAUAGUUCAACAGAGGUACUCAGAAGGACACAGGAAGCCAGCCCUGGAGCAGGACAUACU